rnacentral:tRNA from 1 species
GCCGAAGUGGUGGAAUUGGCAGACACGCUGUGUUCAGGGCGCAGUGGGCGUAGCCCAUGGGGGUUCAAAUCCCCCCUUCGGCA